UGCAGCGGUCUGCGCUCACACGCUAACCCUUGUCUGCAUGUCUCUGGAUGACUUCUUACCUGUAUCUCAUCUUUGUUUUCUUUCUUCUCUGUGAGUGAAGGGUGUCCAGCCCCCAUGUCUUUGUAUAAACAAAGCGUGGGCUGUAAGGGUGUGUGUGUGUGUGUGUGUGUGUGUUUGUGUGAGCAGGGCCAAAAGAGGCUCUGCGUAGCUGAGAUUCCCGAGAUUCCCCUGCAGCAGAUUCGGUCUCUGACGGAGGCCUCUGAUGAUCCGACAUGCUCCAGUGGGGCGCACAGAUUGGUGACCUGUUCUGGAUAAACACCGAUUCUCACACUGGAUAUGAACUCCAGCCAUCCAUGGAACCGCAAUAUAUAAAAUGUCCGAGGGGUCAUAAUGUCCUCCUGCCUCCGGUGCAGCAUUGAUCCACUGGAGCAAACAUCAGCAGCUUGAUUGUAAAGAGAACCACACAGUGCAUUUGUUGUAAAACUAGUUAGACAAUGAAAUAAAACAGAAUCUGACCACAAGUGUUAUCUGGUGGUGCAGAAUGGAUAUAUUGGA